rnacentral:lncRNA from 1 species
AACAUCCUGUCAUGCUCAUUUAUUUAUCAAAUAAAACAGUUGCAUAAUACGCAGCGGAUACAAAACAUCAACAUUCAAAGCAUGUACUACAUUACAUGUAAAGUUGAUCAACAACUAAAUUAAAACAUGGUCAAACAUCCCCUCCCGAUGUUACAUCUACCAGAGCAUGACCCACUAAGGACGACACUAGACUCCAUAGCACUAGCUUCUACUCAACUCA